rnacentral:rRNA from 1 species
AGCUUGCUCUUAUGAAGUUAGCGGCGGACGGGUGAGUAACACGUGGGUAACCUGCCCAUAAGACUGGGAUAACUCCGGGAAACCGGGGCUAAUACCGGAUAACAUUUUGAACCGCAUGGUUCGAAAUUGAAAGGCGGCUUCGGCUGUCACUUAUGGAUGGACCCGCGUCGCAUUAGCUAGUUGGUGAGGUAACGGCUCACCAAGGCAACGAUGCGUAGCCGACCUGAGAGGGUGAUCGGCCACACUGGGACUGAGACACGGCCCAGACUCCUACGGGAGGCAGCAGUAGGGAAUCUUCCGCAAUGGACGAAAGUCUGACGGAGCAACGCCGCGUGAGUGAUGAAGGCUUUCGGGUCGUAAAACUCUGUUGUUAGGGAAGAACAAGUGCUAGUUGAAUAAGCUGGCACCUUGACGGUACCUAACCAGAAAGCCACGGCUAACUACGUGCCAGCAGCCGCGGUAAUACGUAGGUGGCAAGCGUUAUCCGGAAUUAUUGGGCGUAAAGCGCGCGCAGGUG